UAAUAGUGUAUAUUAAAGUUGUUGCAGUUAAAAAGCUCGUAGUUGAAUGUUGGUGUCGAACGAGCGGUCAGCUUCGGCUGUACUGCUCUCUCGACUCCUUCCUUCUGUGGACUACGUCGCACUUUACUGUGUGGCGCUAGGACGCAGAUCGUUUACUGUGAAAAAAUUAGAGUGUUCAAAGCAGGCCGUACGCUUGAAUACAUUAGCAUGGAAUAAUGGAAUAGGACGUCGGGCCUAUUUUGUUGGUUCUAGGACCGUCGUAAUGAUUAAUAGGGACAGUUGGGGCCGUUUAUAUUCCGUAGUCAGAGGUGAAAUUCUUGGAUUUACGGAAGAUAAACCACUGCGAAAGCAUUCGGCAAGGAUGUUUUCGUUAA
rnacentral:rRNA from 1 species